rnacentral:rRNA from 1 species
CAGCACCCCGAGUGGUCGGGACGAUUAUUGGGCCUAAAGCAUCCGUAGCCGGUCCUGCAAGUCCUCCGUUAAAUCCACCCGCUCAACGGUUGGGCCGCGGGGGAUACUACAGGGCUAGGAGGCGGGAGAGGCAAGCGGUACUCGAUGGGUAGGGGUAAAAUCCACUGAUCCAUUGAAGACCACCAGUGGCGAAGGCGGUCUACCAGAACACGUCCGACGGUGAGGGAUGAAAGCUGGGGGAGCAAACCGGAUUAGAGACCCGAGUAGUCC